CAGAUCUUCACCUCUUUCAUUUUGUCUUGGAAGGAUUUUUUUUUAAUAGAAAAAAAAAUCCCUA